UACGUAGGGGGCAAGCGUUGUCCGGAAUUAUUGGGCGUAAAGAGCGCGUAGGCGGUCCGAUAAGUCGGCUGUGAAAGUCAUGGGCUCAACCCAUGAAAGCCGGCCGAUACUGUCGGACUAGAGUCCGGAAGAGGCAAGUGGAAUUCCCGGUGUAGCGGUGAAAUGCGCAGAUAUCAGGAAGAACACCCGUGGCGAAGGCGGCUCUCUGGGACGGUACUGACGCUGAGACGCGAAAGCGUGGGGAGCGAACAGG
rnacentral:rRNA from 1 species